AUUGAACGCUGGCGGCAUGCCUUACACAUGCAAGUCGAACGGCAGCACGGGAGCAAUCCUGGUGGCGAGUGGCGAACGGGUGAGUAAUAUAUCGGAACGUGCCCAGUCGUGGGGGAUAACGCAGCGAAAGCUGUGCUAAUACCGCAUACGAUCUACGGAUGAAAGCGGGGGAUCGCAAGACCUCGCGCGAUUGGAGCGGCCGAUAUCAGAUUAGCCAGUUGGUGGGGUAAAGGCCCACCAAGGCGACGAUCUGUAGCUGGUCUGAGAGGACGACCGGCCACACUGGAACUGAGACACGGUCGAGACUCCUACGGGAGGCAGCAGUGGGGAAUUUUGGACAAUGGGCGCAAGCCUGAUCCAGCAAUGCCGCGUGCAGGAUGAAGGCCUUCGGGUUGUAAACUGCUUUUGUACGGAACGAAACGGCCCUUUCUAAUACAGGGGGCUAAUGACGGUACCGUAAGAAUAAGCACCGGCUAACUACGUGCCAGCCGCCGCGGUAA
rnacentral:rRNA from 1 species